CCGCCCGUGGUGGUGGUUUUAAGCGGUGCCCCGAGGUCGGCCCCGACAGCCUGUGUGCUGCGUGAGGACGACGCUGGGUUCGCGGUGCUGUCGAUUCUCUCGGGGCCGUGCGAUGUCAUCCCCACACCCAGGGCCGCACGGAGGGCCGCAGCCGCACGGAGGGCCCGGAAAGUCGCCAGGGCAUAAUAACCCACCCGGCCAUGACCGAGGCGGCCCCCACCCGAAGGGCUCCCAUACGUCUCCGAAGGGCCCCAAUCCGUCUCCGCCGGGCCCGCACGGCCACCCCCACUAGGCGCUGAGCCCCGUCGGCAGCCGUCCAUGGCACGGGUCCGUCUUCGUCCCUCGGCUACCCGGUAGCCGCGCUGCCGCCGGGGUCUCCCACCCGCCACGUGUGGCAGCACCUCUGCCGGAAACAGCAGCUCGGGCUCGGGUUGAGGUCGGCAAUAAAAAAGUCCUCUCGGUG